GCCUGGCUGGCUCAGUCAGUAGAGCAUGUGACUCUUAAUCUCAGGGUCGUGAGUUCAAGCCCCACACUGGGCG
rnacentral:tRNA from 1 species